AUGUGCCCACUGACCUCAGGCCUUGAAUAACAAGGAUUUCACUGCACGUAGAAGUAGGGGUAGGGCACAGCCAAGCAGAGAAGGACACCAGGAGCACUCUGUGGACUCAAUCCUCCCCAGGCCCAAGAGAGCUGAGGCACGUUCUUCUCUGGCCCCCCAUGGCAGCUACAGCUUGAAGGGACUCAAGAUAAUCUGCAACCAACUUCCUCACUAGGGGUCUCUUUUGUUCACUGAACACCCCUUUCUCAAGCAAGGCUGGGUCCCUCAGCAAGCUCUGGUCACGAGCACCAGGAGAGACCAAG